GACCAGACCAAGCAGGAACAGCCAAAUAAGGACUUGUUUUUCUCAAGGACUUGUUUUUCUCAAUGAGCGGAUGGCGAAACCAGCACCAUCCCCAGGGCGCGAGACCUUGCAGCUUUCUACAAUAAGCCUUGCUCCGUGGGACAAUGGGGAAAAAAAUGAAUGAGACAAAGCCAGAAAAUAUUUACAGGAAAGGGAACCAGGGAAGAAGAAAGAAUUUAAGAAAAGCAAGAAGUAAGGAGUAUAUAACGCUGUUUUUGUUGCUGGGGUUCAUGAAUGGCUCCGUAAUGGCAUGAACCACACUCGUCCUUUCAUUCAUGUGCUGACAUUCUGAUGCCAGGCGCACUCACAGACACGAGGACAGCAUUCUCACGGAGUUCGAGAGCAAAGGACAAACGAUACUGUCACUGUUCGCUUCGGGAGUGCACAUUAACUGCAGGAGGCAAAAAGAUAGAUAAGAAAUGAAGUUCAGAGAAGAGGACCAGUUUAAGGCCAUGGACCAUACAAUUAGUCCACUUCUUAAAACUUUUUCGAUAUGGGGUGCGCCCAUUCUCCCAUGAUGCCUCUGACCUCUCUGACAUGCUUACCUGCUCAGAUCAAGAGAUUUUCUUAACAGUAUCACAGGACCAAAUCUCCAAAACAGCUCUUCCAAGAAAAACAAAAUUUGGGAGUGUGGGACUCACUGGGAAGAUAUCCAUGCUUCUGUAAAUGGCACCCAUGCAUUCUUCUGUAAGUAAUUCUACCUAACGUCACUGGAUGACACACCAAAUGACAUGACAGUAGACUGGAAAUUGGCAGAGAAGAGGAAAGAGAUCAUCAAGAACAAAAGGAGUCAGGAGAAUGACAGUCAAAAUAGUACAACUAUUAUUGUCUUGUAUAAAAAUAUAAAAAUAAAACUCAUUGUCAUGCAUGAUUAACAUAUGUUAAUAAAAAUAAAAUAAAA